rnacentral:lncRNA from 1 species
ACAAAAUGUAUGGUGAUAUUCAUCCAUUUCCAUUCAGGAAUAUCCAUCUACUGGAGUAGACCUCCCGAUCUCUGGUGCUCAGCCUUUACCUGCUGAGAGUUGAGGCAUCUAGCUACAAACUCUACUAUGGCUUUCUUAAUCCGCCUCCACCGGUAAUGCUACCUCAGAUCCUGAUACAUCUUUGUGGCACCCAGAUGGAUGGAGUACCGUAUGCUAUAGGCCUUGAUCAAUAUUUACUCUCGAAUAUCAUCAACAUCGGGUACACAAAUCCGACUCUGCAUCUUCAAUACUCUGUCAUCUCCAACAGUCACAUCCCUAGCAUCGCCAUGGUGAACUGUGUCCCUGAGGACAAGCAAAUGGGGGUCAUCAUACUACCGCUCCCUGAUACGAGCAAACAAUAAAGACCUAGAAACCACACAGGCUAGAACCCGACUGGGCCCUGAAAGGUCCAAUAUCACAAACUGACUGGCUAAGGCCUGAACAUCCAUUUCCAUGGGUCUCUCUGAAGUUGGUAAAUAUGCCAGACUCCCCAAACUCUCUGCCCGGUGACUCAAGGCUUCGGCUACCAUAUUGGCCUUGCCCUGGUGAUAAAGAAUAGUAAUAUCAUAAUCCUUCAGUAGCUCCAACCAUCUCUUCUGGCGCAAGUUCAAAUCCUUCUUCUUGAACAAGUGCUGCAAACUCCGAUGAUCCGUGUAAAUCUCACAAGGCACGCCGUACAAAUAAAUGGUAAUAUCAUAACCUUUCUGUAACUCUAAUCACCUCCUCUUAUGCAAAUUUAGAUCAUUUUGCUUGAACAAGUGCUCCAAACUCCGACGGCCAGUAUAAAUCUCACAAGGCACACCAUACAAAUAAUGACGCCAGAUCUUUAAGGCAUGAACAAUAGUAGCUAACUCAAGGUCAUGGACAGGAUAGUUCUUUUCAUGUACCUUCAACUGUCUUGAUGCGUAGGCAAUCACCCUACAGUCCUACAUCAACACCACUCCAAGUCCAACUCGUGAGGCGUCACAAUAAACCGUAUAGGACCCCAAACCAGUAGGCAAAACUAGAAUAGGGCCUGAAGUCAAAGUCGUCUUGAGCUUUUGGAAGCUCUCUUCACACACGUCUCACCACAGAAAAGGAGCACCCUUCUGGGUCAAUCUAGUCAUAGGGACUGCAAUCGAUGAGAACCCCUCCACAAAACGACGAUAAUACCCAACCAGGCCAAGGGAAAUGCGGAUCUUUGUAGUUGAGGAGGUCCUGGGCCAGCUCUGCACGGCCUCCACCUUUUUCGGAUCUACCCGAAUUCCCUUACUCGAUACCACGUGGCCUAGGAAUGCCACAUAACUCAACCAAAACUCACAUUUUUAGAACUUUGCAUACAUAUUUUAUUCUCUCCAUGUCAAAAGCACUGUCCUCAGGUGUAGUUCAUGAUCUUCCCGACUCCGAGAGAAUACAAGAAUAUCAUCAAUGAAAACAAUGACAAACGAGUCGAGAUAGGGCCUGAAUACAUUGUGCACCAAAUACAAAAAGCUGGUGGGGCGUUGGUCAGCCCAAAUGACAUGACAAUGAAUCGUAAUGACCAUACCGAGUCUUGAAAGCAGUCUUCGGGAUAUCAGGCUCCCGAAUCUUUAGCCGGUGAUAGCCUGAGCGCAAAUCAAUCUUAGAAAAUACUUGUGCACCUUGAAGCUGAUCAAAUAAAUCAUCAAUACGAGGCAAAGGAUAUCGUUUCUUCACUUUAACUUUAUUCAAUUGAUGAUAAUAGAUACACAUGUACAUAGAACCAUCAUUUUUCUUUACAAACAAGAUAGGAGCUCCACAUGGUAAAACACUAGGUCGAAUAAAACCCUUAUCAAGCAAUUCCUGUAACUGAUCCUUGAACUCCUUCAACUCAGGAGCAGCCAUACGGUAAGGAGGAAUGGAUAUGGGUUGAGUGCCCUGAACAAAUCAAAACCAAAAUCAAUGUCCCGAUCGGGAGGCAUGCCCGGAAGAUCAGCAGGAAACACAUCGGGGAAAUCCCGUACUACUAGGACAAAGUCAACAGAACGGUAUCAGCACUGACAUCUCUCACAUAGGCUAAAUACGCGGCACACUCUUUUUCAACCAUACGCUGAGCCUUAAGAAAAGAUAUAACUCUACUGAGAGAAUGAUCAAAAGUACCACUCCACUCAAUACGUGGAAUGCCUAGAAUAGCCAGUGUCAUGGUCUUAGAGUGACAAUCAAGAAUAGCAUACUAGGACGACAACUAGUCCAUGCCCAAGAUAAUAUCGAAAUCAACCAUAUCAAGUAAUAAAAGAUAUGCCCUGGUCUCAAAACC